rnacentral:rRNA from 1 species
CAGGAUGAACGCUAGCGACAGGCUUAACACAUGCAAGUCGAGGGCAGCAUAAAAGUAGCAAUACUUGGUGGCGACCGGCGCACGGGUGAGUAACGCGUAUGCAACUACCUAUCAGAGGGGAAUAACCUGGCGAAAGUCGGACUAAUACCGCAUAAAACAGGGGCACCGCAUGGUGAUAUUUGUUAAAGAAAUUCGCUGAUAGAUGGGCAUGCGUUCCAUUAGGUAGUUGGUGAGGUAACGGCUCACCAAGCCGACGAUGGAUAGGGGAACUGAGAGGUUGGUCCCCCACACUGGUACUGAGACACGGACCAGACUCCUACGGGAGGCAGCAGUGAGGAAUAUUGGUCAAUGGGCGGGAGCCUGAACCAGCCAAGUCGCGUGAAAGGAAGAAGGAUCUAUGGUUCGUAAACUUCUUUUGCAGGGGAAUAAAGUGCAGGACGUGUCCUGUUUUGUAUGUACCCUGAGAAUAAGGAUCGGCUAACUCCGUGCCAGCCGCAGC